CUGCCCAAAAGAGGGGGAUAACACUUGGAAACAGGUGCUAAUACCGCAUAACCAUAGUUACCGCAUGGUAACUAUGUAAAAGGUGGCUAUACUACCGCUUUUGGAUGGGCCCGCGGCGCAUUAGCUAGUUGGUAGGGUAAAGGCUUACCAAGGCAAUGAUGCGUAGCCGAAUUGAGAGGUUGAUCGGCCACAUUGGGACUGAGACACGGCCCAAACUCCUACGGGAGGCAGCAGUAGGGAAUCUUCCACAAUGGGCGAAAGCCUGAUGGAGCAACGCCGCGUGGGUGAAGAAGGUCUUCGGAUCGUAAAACCCUGUUGUUAGAGAAGAAAGUGCGUGAGAGUAACUGUUCACAUUUCGACGGUAUCUAACCAGAAAGCCACGGCUAACUACGUGCCAGCAGCCGCGGUAAUACGUAGGUGGCAAGCGUUAUCCGGAUUUAUUGGGCGUAAAGGGAACGCAGGCGGUCUUUUAAGUCUGAUGUGAAAGCCUUCGGCUUAACCGGAGUAGUGCAUUGGAAACUGGGAGACUUGAGUGCAGAAGAGGAGAGUGGAACUCCAUGUGUAGCGGUGAAAUGCGUAGAUAUAUGGAAGAACACCAGUGGCGAAAGCGGCUCUCUGGUCUGUAACUGACGCUGAGGUUCGAAAGCGUGGGUAGCAAACAGGAUUAGAUACCCUGGUAGUCCACGCCGUAAGC
rnacentral:rRNA from 1 species